rnacentral:lncRNA from 1 species
UUGGUUUUGGUUCUCUCUUAAUCUUUUAAUACGUAUCAAUUUGACCUGUAUUUUUCAAAUUAUGAGUUAUUUUCCGACAAUAGGGUCUAGUCCAAUAAAAAAGGGCUACAGAUUAGAGAUCUCAUAUUCAAAUCCCGAUGGCAUCAUAGUUAUGUGUGUGAGAAAUUUCUAUCCCUUGUAGUUUAGACUAUGGCUUGUAC